UACGUAGGGUGCAAGCGUUGUCCGGAAUUAUUGGGCGUAAAGAGCUCGUAGGCGGUUCGUCGCGUCGGCUGUGAAAACCCGGAGCUCAACUCCGGGCCUGCAGUCGAUACGGGCGGACUUGAGUGUUGCAGGGGAGACUGGAAUUCCUGGUGUAGCGGUGAAAUGCGCAGAUAUCAGGAGGAACACCGGUGGCGAAGGCGGGUCUCUGGGCAGCUACUGACGCUGAGGAGCGAAAGCCAGGGGAGCAAACGGG
rnacentral:rRNA from 1 species